rnacentral:rRNA from 1 species
AUUGAACGCUGGCGGCAGGCCUAACACAUGCAAGUCGAGCGGAUGAAGGGAGCUUGCUCCUGGAUUCAGCGGCGGACGGGUGAGUAAUGCCUAGGAAUCUGCCUGGUAGUGGGGGAUAACGUCCGGAAACGGGCGCUAAUACCGCAUACGUCCUGAGGGAGAAAGUGGGGGAUCUUCGGACCUCACGCUAUCAGAUGAGCCUAGGUCGGAUUAGCUAGUUGGUGGGAUAAAGGCCUACCAAGGCGACGAUCCGUAACUGGUCUGAGAGGAUGAUCAGUCACACUGGAACUGAGACACGGUCCAGACUCCUACGGGAGGCAGCAGUGGGGAAUAUUGGACAAUGGGCGAAAGCCUGAUCCAGCCAUGCCGCGUGUGUGAAGAAGGUCUUCGGAUUGUAGAGCACUUUAAGUUGGGAGGAAGGGCAGUAAGUUAAUACCUUGCUGUUUUGACGUUACCAACAGAAUAAGCACCGGCUAACUUCGUG